rnacentral:pre_miRNA from 1 species
AGUGGGAUAGCUGGGUCAAAUGGUGGUUGCAUUCCAAGUUUUCUGAGGAAUUUCCAUACUGCUUUCCAGAGUGGUUGCACCAAUUUGCAGUUACAACAGCAAU